rnacentral:rRNA from 1 species
AGUGAACGCUGGCGGUAGGCCUAACACAUGCCAGUCGAACGGCAGCACAGUAAGAGCUUGCUCUUACGGGUGGCGAGUGGCGGACGGGUGAGGAAUACAUCGGAAUCUACUUUUUCGUGGGGGAUAACGUAGGGAAACUUACGCUAAUACCGCAUACGACCUACGGGUGAAAGCAGGGGAUCUUCGGACCUUGCGCGAUUGAAUGAGCCGAUGUCGGAUUAGCUAGUUGGCGGGGUAAAGGCCCACCACGGCGACGAUCCGUAGCUGGUCUGAGAGGAUGAUCAGCCAGACUGGAACUGAGACACGGUCCAGACUCCUACGGGAGGCAGCAGUGGGGAAUAUUGGACAAUGGGCGCGAGCCUGAUCCAGCCAUACCGCGUGGGUGAAGAAGGCCUUCGGGUUGUAAAGCCAUUUUGUUGGGAAAGAAAAGCAGCAGGUUAAUACCCCGCUGUUCUGACGGUACCCAAAGAAUAAGCACCGGCUAACUUCGUG